rnacentral:rRNA from 1 species
GAUGAACGCUGGCGGCGUGCCUAAUACAUGCAAGUCGAGCGAACGGACGAGAAGCUUGCUUCUCUGAUGUUAGCGGCGGACGGGUGAGUAACACGUGGAUAACCUACCUAUAAGACUGGGAUACUUCGGGAAACCGGAGCUAAUACCGGAUAAUAUUUUGAACCGCAUGGUUCAAAAGUGAAAGACGGUCUUGCUGUCACUUAUAGAUGGAUCCGCGCUGCAUUAGCUAGUUGGUAAGGUAACGGCUUACCAAGGCAACGAUGCAUAGCCGACCUGAGAGGGUGAUCGGCCACACUGGAACUGAGACACGGUCCAGACUCCUACGGGAGGCAGCAGUAGGGAAUCUUCCGCAAAGGGCGAAAGCCUGACGGAGCAACGCCGCGUGAGUGAUGAAGGUCUUCGGAUCGUAAAACUCUGUUAUUAGGGAAGAACAUAUGUGUAAGUAACUGUGCACAUCUUGACGGUACCUAAUCAGAAAGCCACGGCUAACUACGUG